UACAAGGUGUAGUAAUAACUGAGUUAGUCCUCACUUACAAUGUGUAGUAAUAACAGAGUUAGUCCUCACUUACAACUUGCAGUAAUAACAUAGUUAGUCCCCCACUUACAAUGUGUAGUAAUAACAGAGUUAAUCCUCACUUACAACGUGCAGUAAUAACAUAGUUAGUCCUCACUUAUAAUGUGCAGUAAUAACAUAAUUAGUGCCCCACUUACAAUGUGCAGUAAUAACAGAGUUAGUGCUCACUUACAACGUGCAGUAAUAACAUAGUUAGUCCUCACUUACAAUGUGCAGUAAUAACAUAGUUAGUCCUCACUUACAAUGUGCAGUAAUAACAGAGUUAGUCCUCACUUAAAAUGUGCAGUAAUAACAUAGUCAGUCCUCACUCACAAUGUGUAGCAAUAACAGAGUUAGUCCCCACUCACAAUGUAUAGUUAAAACAGAGUUAGUCCUCACUUACAAUGUGCAGUAAUAACAUAGCUAGUCCUCACUUACAAUGUGCAGUAAUAACAGACUUAGUCCCAACUCACAAUGUAUAGUUAUAACAGAGUUAGUCCUCACUUACAACGUGCAGUAAUAACAUAGUUAGUCCUCACUUACAAUGUGUAGUAUUAAAAGAGUUAGUCCUCACUUACGGUGUGUAGUAAUAACAAGGUAAGUCCCCACUAACAAUGUAUAGUUAUAACAGAGUUAGUCCCCACUUAAUCCAUCAUGUAUUGCUCGCUUCAUUGACUGAAAGAAAUUUGAUGUCUGAAGUCGAAAAAUACUUUUAGUAUUAAUAUGUUCAAACCGAUAUGUUUCAUCACAGGGUUAAAGAAGUCAACAAUGGCUAGCGGCUUAGAAACUUCAUUUGGUGGGGUCAGGCAGCUUCUUGUGCGGGCGGGUUCACUCCACCUUGUGGGAGUGGGUAUGCUGCAUUUUGUGGGGGCGGGUACGUUC